rnacentral:rRNA from 1 species
UACGGAGGGUGCAAGCGUUAUCCGGAUUUAUUGGGUUUAAAGGGUCCGUAGGCGGUUCUGUAAGUCAGUGGUGAAAUCUCACAGCUUAACUGUGAAACUGCCAUUGAUACUGCAGGUCUUGAGUGUUAUUGAAGUAGCUGGAAUAAGUAGUGUAGCGGUGAAAUGCAUAGAUAUUACUUAGAACACCAAUUGCGAAGGCAGGUUACUAAGCAACAACUGACGCUGAUGGACGAAAGCGUGGGGAGCGAACAGG